rnacentral:rRNA from 1 species
UACGUAGGGUGCGAGCGUUGUCCGGAAUUACUGGGCGUAAAGAGCUCGUAGGUGGUUUGUCGCGUUGUUCGUGAAAACUCACAGCUCAACUGUGGGCGUGCGGGCGAUACGGGCAGACUGGAGUACUGCAGGGGAGACUGGAAUUCCUGGUGUAGCGGUGGAAUGCGCAGAUAUCAGGAGGAACACCGGUGGCGAAGGCGGGUCUCUGGGCCGAAACUGACGCUGAGGAGCGAAAGCGUGGGGAGCAAACAGG